GACGAACGCUGGCGGCGUGCCUAACACAUGCAAGUCGAGCGAGUGAAUCUCCUUCGGGAGUGAAGCUAGCGGCGGACGGGUGAGUAACACGUGGGCAACCUGCCUCAUAGAGGGGAAUAGCCUUUCGAAAGGGAGAUCAAUACCGCAUAAGAUUGUAGCUUCGCAUGAAGUAGCAAUUAAAGGAGCAAUCCGCUAUGAGAUGGGCCCGCGGCGCAUUAGCUAGUUGGUGAGGUAACGGCUCACCAAGGCGACGAUGCGUAGCCGACCUGAGAGGGUGAUCGGCCACAUUGGGACUGAGACACGGCCCAGACUCCUACGGGAGGCAGCAGUGGGGAAUAUGGCACAAUGGGGGAAACCCUGAUGCAGCAACGCCGCGUGAGUGAUGACGGCCUUCGGGUUGUAAAGCUCUGUCUUCAGGGACGAUAAUGACGGUACCUGAGGAGGAAGCCACGGCUAACUACGUGCCAGCCGCCGCGGUAA
rnacentral:rRNA from 1 species